GAAGGUGUGUCUAGAAAGUCAGGUUAGAGCUUGAUUAGUAAAGCAUUUCAUUUACAUUGAAAAGUUAUCGUGCAAUUCGGUUUAAUUUGAUAAAAUAAAAUUAUUAAGGUUAUUUGUUUUUAAAAUUAUUUUAAUAAAAUUAAUUUUUAAUAAAAAAGUUUAAGUAUUUUAUAAAGAAAAAAUAAAUAUAAUGAUAGUUAAUUAGUAUUGUAAAAGAAAUUUUAAAUAUAUUGAAAAUUUUUUAUUUUAAAAGAAAAUAUUAUUUAUUGUACCUUGUGUAUCAGGGUUUAUUAAUUAAAAGGUAAAGAUUUAUUAUUCCCGAAUUUAAAAGAGUUAAUAAAUUAUGUUAGUUAACGUAUUAAAGUUAUUAAUAAUAAUUUAUUAGAAAUGAAAUGUUAAUCGCUUUUAAAUAUAUCUGGUUUUCUAAGAAAUAAAUUUAAUUUAGUUAAUUAUUAAUAAUUUUUUAUUUAUAAAAUAAAAUUAGUAAUAAUUAAAAAUAUUUUAAGGGAUAAGCUUUAAAAUAUUAUUUAUAAUUAAUUGUUUUAUUUUUAAAUCUAUAGGCUUAGAAAUAGUCAUUAGUUAAAAAAAUGUUAUAAUUUAUUUAAAAAUAAAAAUAAUUUUUUAUUAUUUAAGUAUCUAUUAGAAUAAUUUUGUUAAUAAUAAUAAAUUUAUAAUAAUGAUAAAAUUAGUAUAAUUAAAUGUAAGUUUUAAUUUAAUAAGAAAGGUUACAUUAAGGAACUCGGCAAAUAAAUACUCGCCUGUUUAACAAAAACAUGUCUUUCUGAUAAUAAUUUAAAGUCUAAUCUGCCCACUGAUUUUUUAAAGGGCCGCGGUAUU
rnacentral:rRNA from 1 species